ACUUUAAAUACUCCGUGGAGCGCCCAUGCAAUGCGCGCGGUCACAGAAAGUCUGAAUUCAUAUUUCAGGUAGGCCUACACCUACCCACAUGCAGCACUGAGCGUUUGUAAAGUGGCGGAUGGGGUGUCCGAGUUGAAGAUGCACGUUGGGCGUUUGGAGCUGCGGGAGACGGGGGACACACACCUGUACAGGUAGGAGCUGCUGCAUGUUUUUAUUGAGCGUGGUAUUCCCGCAUAUUCUGCCUUAAAAUCACCAUAUUC